CCACUUCAGCAGCACAUUUACUAAAAGAGGAAUAAUACAGAGAAUAUUAACAUGGUCCCUGUGCAAAGAUGACAUUCAAAUCCAUGAAAUGUUCCAUGUGUUU